rnacentral:misc_RNA from 1 species
UUUCCGUAGGUGAACCUGCGGAAGGAUCAUUCAUAAUAAAGUGUUUUAUGGCACUUUUUAAAAAUCCAUAUCCACCUUGUGUGCAAUGUUAGAUCUCGUCAAUCUUGGCGAGAUUUUUAUACAUCAACUCAUUUUUUAACUAAUUUGUCUGAAAAAUAUUAUGAAUACUUAAUUCAAAAUACAACUUUCGACAACGGAUCUCUUGGCUCUC